AGAAGUACCAUUAUACUUGUCAAAAGAGGGUGCUUUGAAUUUGUAGGGAAUCCUCAACCCUUCUACCAGACCCAUAUUAGUCACAUCAAAACCCAAGGAAUUCUGACAUUCCAUGGCUCUUAUCUUCUCAGCAAGAGCAUCCACCUUACGAUCCCUCUCUUCGACUCUUCCAACAACCUCAUCAUCUUCACUCACCAGCGUGAACAUGUCCUCUU
rnacentral:lncRNA from 1 species